CUCUAGCAUGGCAGAGAAAGAUGCUGUUGAAAACACCAGCAAUAAAGAUGACACAGUUCCUGAAGUAGAACAUAAGCGCAAGAGGACUGGUAGCCUGGGUGAUGUUUAUAAAGAUAAGUGCACCAAGGGCAGCACUAUGAUUGUGUGGGACGAAAAUGCUAUUUUGAAAUUGCUUGACCGUUCAAAUCUUCAGUCAGAAUCACCUGAUAACAAUGAAGCAGAACUGGAGAAUGAUAUGCUUGGCUCAGUGAAGUCAUUGGAAUGGAAUGAGG
rnacentral:misc_RNA from 1 species